AAGGUUCCUGCCUUUAGGUUGAAAGGAUCAUGUAAUGUUUUUUGUUGCUGUCAAAUGUUGGACGAUGAAAACAAAGGGUAUUUUUAGGGCUGUCUGCCUAUUACUCGGAUGUUUUAGGGACCAUCAACAUCUGAAUUAGAUGGAAAUCCAAUAGUCCAGGUGCAUCUUCAACCUCACCUCCAUCCUACCCCCGGGCUCUUAGUCAGAUCCACCACCGCCCCAAGUCCCCAAUGCUAACCUCUCAACUCGUG
rnacentral:lncRNA from 1 species